rnacentral:rRNA from 1 species
AAGCUCGUAGUUGAAUUUCGGGAUUAGUACGUGGUCGUGCCUUAGGUACGUACUGGUGUUACUGGUUCCUACCUUCUGACGAACCAUCAUGUCAUUAAUUUGGUGUGGUGGGGAAUCAGGACUGUUACUUUGAAAAAAUUAGAGUGUUUAAAGCAGGCUCGCGCUUGAAUACAUUAGCAUGGAAUAAUGAAAUAGGACGUUGAUCCUAUUUUGUUGGUUUCUAGGAUUGACGUAAUGAUUAAUAGGGAUAGUUGGG